rnacentral:rRNA from 1 species
CGCUGGCGGCGUGCUUAACACAUGCAAGUCGAACGAGAGGAGAAGGAAGCUUGCUUCUUUCAAAUCUAGUGGCAAACGGGUGAGUAACACGUAAACAACCUGCCUUCAGGAUGGGGACAACAGACGGAAACGACUGCUAAUACCGAAUACGUUCCUUAGGUCGCAUGACUUUAGGAAGAAAGGGUGGCCUCUACUUGUAAGCUAUCGCCUGAAGAGGGGUUUGCGUCUGAUUAGGUAGUUGGUGAGGUAACGGCCCACCAAGCCGACGAUCAGUAGCCGGUCUGAGAGGAUGAACGGCCACACUGGAACUGAGACACGGUCCAGACUCCUACGGGAGGCAGCAGUGGGGAAUCUUCCGCAAUGGGCGAAAGCCUGACAGAGCAACGCCGCGUGAGUGAUGACGGCCUUCGGGUUGUAAAGCUCUGUGAUCGGGGACGAACGGUCAGCAGACGAAUACUCUGCUGAAGUGACGGUACCCGAAUAGCAAGCCACGGCUAACUACGUG